rnacentral:ncRNA from 1 species
AACGAAAGUAGAGGUCGCAAUUUUCAACAGUACCCGGUGGAGCAGACAUGCUUUGAAGCCGCAGGGAAAGGGGGAGUUGCCGAAGAUCAUCAGCCGGUGGGCUGAUGACCUGGGACCGGAUCUAAGAGAUCCGGUACUGUCAUUACGGUGAUGCGCUACAAUAAUG